rfam:Danio rerio chromosome 9, GRCz11 reference primary assembly.
CCUCAUUUGUACUGUAAGUCGCUUUGGAUAAAAGCGUCUGCUAAAUGACUAAAU